GACGAACGCUGGCGGCGUGCUUAACACAUGCAAGUCGAGCGGUAAGGCCCUUUCGGGGGUACACGAGCGGCGAACGGGUGAGUAACACGUGGGUGACCUGCCCUCAGCUCUGGGAUAAGCCCGGGAAACUGGGUCUAAUACUGGAUAUGACUCCAUGACGCAUGUUGUGGGGUGGAAAGCCUUGUGCGGCUGAGGAUGGGCCCGCGGCCUAUCAGCUUGUUGGGGGGUGAUGGCCUACCAAGGCGACGACGGGUAGCCGGCCUGAGAGGGCGACCGGCCACACUGGGACUGAGACACGGCCCAGACUCCUACGGGAGGCAGCAGUGGGGAAUCUUGCGCAAUGGGCGAAAGCCUGACGCAGCGACGCCGCGUGAGGGAUGACGGCCUGGUGUAAC
rnacentral:rRNA from 1 species